GAAAUGCGAUAAUUCAGGUGAAUUGCAGCUGGCGUGAAUCCUUGAAAUUUUGAACGCACACUGUGGCCUAACUCGUUUUAGGCCGUGUUUGUUUGAGCGCCGCAUAAUAAUUACGGUAAGGUUCGUCCUGCCAGUUGGGUUCCAUAUCUGCUUCUUCUACUACUACUACUAGCAGCGGAUAAGUUACCUUAAAUUUGAAUCUGGUGAAGUUUUGACUGAUGUCUUUUCUUGGCCACCUCCUCUUUGUGAUUUAGAUUUUCUUGCACUCUGAGAUGUGGAAUAACAUGAUCUGACUGAUGGACAAACAGAAUCAUGAUGACCCCUUUUUUACAUAAUAAUAACUAAAACCUCGGCCUCAAAUCAAGCACGAUUACCCGCUGAAGUUAAGC
rnacentral:misc_RNA from 1 species